CGUAGAAAUGGUUCCACUGUUGUCAUUACACGGUUUGGUGAACAUAAUUCAGAGGUCACACGUGAAAAAGAAGACAAAGGAACUAGAGGAGGGAGCGGAGGAAAAACUGACUCUACGGGAUCCAUUUCAACAGGAAAAAACAAAGAAACUGAUGACAGAUGCUGAGAAAGAUGAAGAAACAAACAAUGGUCACUGUAACCUGAAACACAAAUGAUCUUUUCUUUGUUAGUCCAAAGGACUGGACUCUCUCAAGGGGAGGAUGAUGUGAAGUUUUAACUCUUUUUACAAUCUGUACAAUAGUUACUUUCAAAUUGUGCCUAAAGAUGUCCCCAACAGUCCUCCUCUACAUUUGUUUCAUCCUCUGCUCCAAUUCACAGUCAACUUCGCAGAAACCUGCUCCUGAUCCUUCAGACGAUUUAUUUUCAACGUCGUCGUUAGAUCAUCGUUAGAUCGUCGUCAACGAUGACUAUUCUGACAGUAAAGAUUAAGCAAUUUAUCGAUAUACGCCUGAUGGCGUUCCUUCGCCGGGAGCGACCGCCUGGAAAUUGAUUUUGGCGUAGUGGGCGAUGGUGAGCUGGGAGAUGUUGGCCACGAAGAAUGUGUCUUUGAUGAUGAUGGAAACAAUGAAAACAAUAAUAACAAUGUUUAUGACCCAACCACGAUACCAACAAUGAAGGUAAUAAUGGUGAUGAAAAUAAUGGCAAUGGAAAUGAUGGUAGUAGUGCUGUCAAUAUUGAUAAUGGCAAUAAUGACGAGAAUAACAAUAAUAACAGUGGCGGAAUAGGGACCGUUGCCCCCUCGAUAGAUCAAUCACACCGGGUGCAAAAAGACCCAGAAGGUCAAAGAAGUCAAAGCGAAAGUCUCCCAGAAGUAAGAGCUAAGCAGCAGUUGUACAACCAGUACCAGUACAACAGUUUGACGCGACUCAUGCUAACAUGGACUUUCGCCCAAUCAGUACGCCAAUUUACGCUAAAACAGCGAAUGGAAUUUUGCGUGGAGGUGAAUGGGAGCAAACCAUAACUCCCGAAGACAGACUCAUCGAUCCCGUUGAAUUAAGCACUAUGCAGCAAGUCAGUGAAGCUGAAUUAUAUGACUAGGCUGGCAGGGAUAGCAGUGAUGAAGAAGGAGACAGAAGGAUGCUGGUGAACCAGGAAAAGGCAGCUAAGAAAUACAAAGAAGACAACUAUUGCGUCUUCGAAUGUGCCUACAAAGAUUGGUAAAAAGAGUUACGGAUACAAAGUCGCUCCAUAAACAUGUUGUCGGAUACAAAAGGAGUGCUGGGGAUAGAUAUUUAUUCAUCUCGUGCGAAGCUCGAAUAACUAAGGAUGGUUUGAACGCAAAAAGGAUUGGUGUGAAGCAGCGUCCGACGAGGUUUCCCUGUGGUAUAGUAAAAUGCAUGGUACCUGACAAAGUUACUUCUACAACUGAUGAAGCAACUGGAAUUGAAACGGAACAUUUUGAUGUACCCGCGGUAAUACAAACGCAGUAGGACGAGUGGAUGGUAGAUGAGAGAAGUGACAAGGAAAAAGCGUAUGCGGCUAUGAUCCUUGGAAGAUCCACACCCUCCAGUUAAAAAAU